UGGGGAAUAUUGCACAAUGGGGGAAACCCUGAUGCAGCGACGCCGCGUGAACGAAGAAGGUAUUCGUAUCGUAAAGUUCUGUCCUAUGGGAAGAUAAUGACAGUACCAUAGAAGAAAGCUCCGGCUAAAUACGUGCCAGCAGCCGCGGUAAUACGUAUGGAGCGAGCGUUGUCCGGAAUUAUUGGGCGUAAAGGGUACGCAGGCGGUUUAAUAAGUCGAAUGUUAAAGAUCGGGGCUCAACCCCGCAAAGCAUUGGAAACUGAUAAACUUGAGUAGUGGAGAGGAAAGUUGAGUUCCUAGUGUAGUGGUGAAAUACGUAGAUAUUAGGAGGAAUACCAGUAGCGAAGGCGACUUUCUGGACACAAACUGACGCUGAGGUACGAAAGCGUGGGGAGCAAACAGG
rnacentral:rRNA from 1 species